CGCUGACCACAUUCAUGUGGGAAGGGCUUAUAAAUUAUUUGUAAGCUAAUUAGAGUUGGUUAACAUUUGAAAGUUUUGAUAAACACAUGGGAAGAGGUUUAGUAUGGUUGCUACUUUAAUAUGAUAUGGUGGAUAUUAUGAGUUAAGAAUUGGGCUACCUGUAGAUAAAUUAUUGUGAUUACUACUUUAAUUCUUUUCAUUGAGAAAGUGUAAGUUGAAAAGUUUC
rnacentral:lncRNA from 1 species